rnacentral:tRNA from 1 species
UUAAUUAAAACCAAAAAGAGGUAUAUCACUGUUAAUGAUAAAAUUGAAUUAUUUUUAAAAUUCUAAUUAAA